UUAGAACCUGGAAAAGGCAGGGAUAUGGAUUCUGCCCAAGACAUGCAGAAGGAAGGUAGCCCUGCUGACAACUUGAUUUUAGGACUUCUGACCUUUGUUGUAAUUUGUUACAGCAGCAAUAAGAAGUGAAAACACAGCUCUAGUGCUUAGAUAGAGCUAGGCACACAGUAGGAACUUAAGUGUUUCUUCCACAAAUGAAUAUUUGAGCCAUUUGCAGUGCAAUGUUUGUGUCUCCGUUUCACGUAUAUCUUCUUGUAAGUCAAGGUUUAUGAGUGGUCAUCAAAUGAAAAGUGGAAGGGACAUUUCUCUGAAAGUCUGUAGCAGAGAUUUUCCUGUCAUAGACAACACAAGCUGGUUUGAGCAGCAUUAAGUGUGAGGGAAUUCAAUAGAUUUAUUCUGUAACUUGGGAAAACUUGUUUGAUCUCUCAGGGUCUCUGUUUUCCCAUCUGUAAGAAAUCAAAAGUUAGUCUCGCCUUCUUCCUGACGGUGAAGUUCAUAAAGACAGAUGAUGUUAUUCAACCAGAGUAUUCCUUGGAAGACAAGGUUCUAUAUAAAUCCUGGGUAGCCUGAUUGUUGCAUUAAUAAUAAAUAUUUAAGAAAUAAAGCCCACGUUUUCAAAAACAAAUAAACGAAGACACCCAGCAUCACCUGUCACUUAGGGAAGGUUGUGCUCUCUUCCUGAACUAAAACACUUAGUGUUUUUAAUAGCUUCACUUCUUAAUAUUCUGUAACCAAAGAAGUGGAAUGCACAACUUUAGGAUUAAAUAUUAAAAUAUUAAAUAUUAAAUCAGACAGCAGAAAUUCAUCACAUGCUUGAAUCUGCCCAGUUUACUCGGGGUUUCCUAGGCACGCUAAGAAAUCCAAGUACUGUUCUUAUUCACUGAGGUCAUUUCUUUCCUCUUUUAAUGCCAGACACACAGGCACCAUAUACAUCUUUUUAUUGAUCAAUCUCAAAGAGUUGAAUGAAAUAGAACAAAUACUAGCAUCUGUACUUGAAAUAACCCAUCUGGCAUGAUGAAUCUAGAGGUUGCAUUUACUAGACAUGGCCAGUUAUUCCGAAUGAGGAAGCGGCACAUGAUUUGUCUUCUUGGCCAAUGUCUGUUUCUUCUUGACUCCUCGUACCAGCAGCUUUGUGUAGCCUGCGUUGCAACCCUGGGCCCGAUCUUUGUGUAAAUUUUGACUGCAACAGUGGCCUGACAGUCAGCUGGGUGUCAUCAUAAUCCAAGCUCCAGUACUCAAAGAAGACCAGAGAACCCUGCUAACUUGAUUGAUGGAAUCUGGUGUUUCUCUACCCAAGGAAAACAACUUUGAUGUUUAUCUUCACUCUUUCUGCCUCCCCUGUCUGUCUUUCAAAUUCUUGCUCAGAGAAAGUCUUCUGCCCUCCAAAACCCAUUUCUGAGAGAUGACCUGAUGCUAGGCAUUUAUAAUUCAUUCUUUAGGUAAGCCACAGGGUUUAGUGAAAAGACAGAAAGACCUACUCCCCUGCUUAGCUUGUGACCUUGAGCAAGCUGGUUCACCUUUUGAGACUAUUUUCUCAUCUGUUAAUGAAGAUGGAAGGAAUAGUGUGAUUAUGUUUACACAGUGGUAUGUUGCCAUUCACAAGCUUGGAGGUAUUAAUUAAGUCACAUUUCCUUUAGUGAUUAGAUUAACACAACCCUAAGCCUUAAUGCUGGCCUGGCAAAAACUCCUCUGAGCAUGUGUGUUGGAGGGAAUAUAUAGCGGGAGAGGGAAGAAGGAGAAAGUGUUUAUCCGUAACGAUACUCAACCACAAUUGCUAUUAUCCUAGCCCCAGUUUCUCUUUCUUAUUUUUUAUUUUUUUGAGACAGGAUCUUGCUCUCUCACCCAGGCUGGAAUGCAGUGGCACAAUCUCAGCUCACUGCAACCUCCACUUCCCAGGCUCAAACAAUCCUCCCACCUCAGCCCCCCAAGUAGAUGGAACUACAGAGACAGAGUGUUGCUAUAUCAUGCAGGCUGGUCUCAAGCAGUCCUCCCACCAUGGCCUCCCAAAGUGCUGGGAUUACAGGCGUAAGAUACCAUGCCCUGCCUUCAUGUUUUUUUGUUUUUGUUUUUUAAAUACCAUCAGCACCAUUUUGGUGAACUACACAGCAUAUAAGAAAAAUAAUCCCUUGCUUUUGCCGCAAGUAACAUUUUAUAAUGGCAGAAGAGGCAACCCUGGCAGGCUUCGCUAUAUUUCCUGUAGAACUUCCUACCAGCGUUGGCUAAAAGGAUGCUGAAGACCAAUUGGGGCAGAGCAAGAUUACGAUAUUGUAGAUAUCCGACAGAGAGAAAGAGAAUGUGAUUGACUCUUAACUAGAGUCACGCACCACUCUGGAUCAAUCAUCUGAGGCCUGGGAGAAGUGUCAUAACACAGGCUGGAGUGCAGUGGCACAAUCUCAACUCACUGCGACUUCCUCUUCCCAGGUUCAAGUGAUACUCCUACCUCGGCCUCCAGAGUAGCUGGGAUUACAGGCUCGCACCACCACGCCCAGCUGAUUUUUGUAGUUUUAGUAGAGAUGGGGUUUCACCAUGUUGGCCAGGCUGGCCUCAAACUCCAGCAAGGUCAAUAUUUUAAAAACCAUGUAAGGAAGAAGGAAUUGAGGGAGAGUCACUAACUGGGGUCCCAAUGGCAUUAGCUUUUUGGCACUAGACAAGUUCCUAAACCAUAAAGUGGCUGAGUAGGAAGUGGUUUAUCCCACGUACAUACAGUUGUGCACCUUUAGAAUUAUUAACCGGUUAACAUUCCGGAGUGACCCCCAUUCUGGCAAGACUAGGACUAAAGAAACUCUGUUUGCCUUUUGGCUGAUGACAGGGCUCAGCAUGACAGGGCUCAGCAAUACCUCCCCUUACAACAGAAGUAUGAAGCAGAUCUUGAGGAAUCUGAGAAAGAUUAGAAUCUCUCUCCCUUUUUGUUUUAUAGCACAGUAUAUCAUAAUGGCACUGGGCUAUAGUUGAUUCAGUUAGCUGUUAAUUGAACAUCUAUUAUGCUCAAAACACUUUGGGGUCUAUAGGCCAAUCAACAUGGGGACUAUUCUCUAAGAAGCUGUUAUGCAAACUCCACUUGAACAGAGUGCAAUGGUUGUUUAGAAGAUAAGCUCUGACAAAUGAUUUGGGAACAAAAAAAGGCUCCAUGUAGUCAGGAAAAAGAGAUGUCAGUGAAGUUGGGGGGCUGUUUAGGACAUUAGGGAGAGAAAAACACAGUCUCUAGACAGUACGGAAGAGAAGGCUUUCCUUAAAAGAAAUAUCAAAGAGAUUUUAGGUUGUUAACUUUGGUGCACAAUGUAAACUCAUAUUUACCCCAUGGAAUCUUCAGUAAAUAUUACAUUAUUCACUGAUUUAUCAGAGUCAAUUUUUGGGGGGCCCUUUAAGAAGACAGGUUAGGGCAGCACAUAUACAAACUACCCAAGUAGGGGAAAAAUGCGUGGACUCAUUCUCAAGUUGUUUAUAAUAUGUAGGUGAAGGUCAUCACCCUAGGAUGGCGACUUUGAAAUUCCUAGUCAUCUAUCAGUCUGCCAAUCAGUUAAGCAAAGUAUUGAAAUAACACCCCAUGUGACUAUGUGACCAUCAUAGGACAUGAAAGUAUUGACUGCCUUGACUAACUGUUUGAACUCUACACUGUUUUAUUGUGGGGGGGCACAAAAUGAAAUGACACAGAACCCCUGCCCCUUGGGAACCCACAGCCUAUUGGUGAAAACAGACACAUAAACAUGUAAAAAUAUAAGACAUAAAAUGAAUCAAUAUGACACCAUAAUUGAACUUCAGUAAAGAAAUAAUCUUCAACAAACAUUGACACAUUCCAAGGACAGCAGAAACUCUGAACCAAGAGCGCUGAACUCAGAAAGCCCCUUGAUGUGUGAUGAUUGUUGGACAUUUCUGACAGCAUCACUAUUAGCUGUAUUGAUAACACUUGGGAAAGGUCAAGUUUUGCAAAGACUUUCUGCCCACCAAGAAUAGCAAGGAAUCGAUUGAUUCUGAGCACAAAAACAAUGUCAGAAGCUAGAGGGAAAUGCAGUGCGAUUGCUAUUACUGGGAAGCUCCCCUUCUCUCAAAUAAAUGUCCUGGGAAAUCUACAUUCAACUUCCUGUAGUUAGACUGUUGGACUCUUUGAAUACUCUUGGACCUUUAGCUUUUCACUAGCUUGGUCUUUUGUACCUUCAGUCUGAGCUCAUAGGCUAAUAAUUAAGGAUGUCUUCAUUGACUAUUUAAGGUAACAUCCUUCCGCCAUCACUGUGCUAACACCACACUAAUAAUUUAUUUUUUUGCACUUAAUAUGAAGUCAUCUUCAAUAUUUUAAGUUUGCCUCUUUACCUGUGGCUUGUUCCUCAUUCUCUUCUAGAAUAAAAGCUUCAUGAGUGCAAGAACUACGAUUAUCUUGUAGACAGGGUAGAGGCUAGCCUAAACUAGAUUCCUGUGCACCUCUGCGUGAAUUAGAAAAAAACACCCUCUCCAAAAAGGUGGGUUAGAAAAAGUCACAUCUUCUUGGUAGAUGCCGGUUGCAUGGGUUCAUAGCUUUGACGAGUGGAUUUCAACCCCUCGCUUUUCUUCGGCAUGUCGUACAAGAACUUCAGAAAUAUAUGUUGCAGCCCUGCUUGUCUAGUGCUAUUUGGGAUCACCCCUGGCACAUAGUGAAUGAAUCAAUAUGAUACCGUAAUUGAAUAAGAGGAGACCAUAAUACCCUCUUAGACCUACCAAACAAUCCAUGUUAUACAGCAAUAUCUUAUAUAGGAACAACAACAAUAAAAAACCUUGGAAGGCCUUUGAGACCAACCUUGAUUCCCUUACAGACCAGCUAGAGCCAGUCAGAGGCUCACAGCUGGAACACAACAGCACUUCAAUAGCACAGUAACCAAUUGAGGCUGACUUCUGUGACCUUCUGAUAUUUCAUAAAUGCACCAGCCGCAGGAACUCUUAUUUAAGUACUCCUGUUAGCCUUGUUCUUGCCUACUGACUUUACAGCCCCCUGUACAUGGCUGGGCUAGUGGGACGGAAGCCUUCCAACUGAGCAUCCCUUGCUAGAGGUCCUGUGAGUCCUGACAAAGCCUGUCUCCUGCCUUUUAAGAAUAGCAGAGUCAAAUAAAAUCUUGCCAGUGACUUUGGCCCACGCGUGGAGUGACGCCGACGGAUCUGCCUGAAAUGGAGACAUUAAAGAAUUUUGCAAAGCAAAGAAAAACCCACGGUUGCUUCCAUAAAUCAAAACUUCAAAUAAGAACGCAGCUUUAGCAAUUCAUUCCCUGCAGAAUUAACCUUUGUUUCCCGGCAGGCUGCUUCUAAGAAUAUGCUUCGUGCCUAAAAGGAAAUAGGAGAGCCCUUACAGAAUGGGUUUUAUGUUUACCACGCAGGAGGAAAAGCUGAAAUGAAAGCAAAGUUGAAAAGGAAGCUUGUUUCUAACUAAUCCAGCCUCUAGAUAGAAGUCCUAAGAUGCAAAAGCAAUUAUCAUAUACAUGAAUCUGUGUCCCUACUCACAGAUGCACAAAUGCCACUUCUUCGUCUGCUGUUUCUGUAACUUACUCCUGGCAAGGAUAACAGAGUUCUGGGGACUGGAAAAGGACUCAUCAUCCAGAUUCUUCUCUUCUUUAGGAUUCAACUUGGGACCUCCUCCUGGAAGUCCUCCUGGAUUUGAGAAGUACCCUUCCCCUGUGUCCCCAUAAAACCCUAUGAAUUUCUUUAUUAUUGAAUUUGUCACAUUGUAUUACAGUUAUCUGUUCAUGCGUCAAAGACAAGGGUAUUUUAUUUGACUUUAAAAAAAUCAUUAAAGUCAAAUACUUAGCACAUUGUCUGGAAUAGAAUGACAUCUCAGUAAGGUCUUAAUGAAAUAGUCAAUGGACCAUUCUGUUAACAGUUGCCUAUCGAACUCAUACUAUUUGUUGUCACUCUGCCACACACUAAGACUGUAUACAAGAAAUAUAACAUGUAAUAACAGUGGUUGCUAUCAUUUUUGAAUAUCUAUUCCAAGUCAGGUACUCUGCUAAUUGCUUUACAAAUGGGUUUCACCUGAAUACGUCGCAGCAGCUAUGACCUUCAUUUCAUAGAUCAGACUGAGACCAUAGUAGAUGAACUGACUUUUCCCCAAAGACACACAACAGGCAAGAGGAAGAACCGGGAGUUGAACCAGUCUCCAAAUCCUCUGAUCUAUUACCCUAUAGGAGUUUGCUUCUCUGACCUUAAGAAACAUGUGAUAUAAUGGGGGUUCGGUGGAGUGGUGUCAAAAGUACAAUGCAUUUGAAAUGCUGGAAAACCAUUAAGUGUCAGACGGUAGGGUGGUGCCUUCAUGGAGAAACAGGGAUCAACGAAGCAGGAGCUCCCUGUGUACUGGAUUAAUCAAGGAAAGAUUCAUGGCGGGUCCAGAACUUGAACUAAAAUCAGAAUGGAAUUUAAAUAUAUGGAGAAGAGAAGGUAAAGUAGAGAAACUUACGUUCAUUGAGUACAGAACAUUGGUCUUGGUAAAGAGAUUGGGUUUUGAAACUGGCAGAAUCUGGCACUGAAUUCAAACCUGCUAUUUUAAAGCUGUGAGAACUUUUGCAAUUUGCCCAACCUUUUGAGCCUCUCCACCACCAUAUGUAAAUAGGCAUAGUAAGACCUCUGGUAUCAGUUAAGAAUGCUUUCAUAUGCAAGUAAAAGACAUGUUGAAAAAUGGUGUAAAACAUAAGGACACAUAUGCAUCUCAGGGUUUGUUGAGUAAUUCAGUGGUGUUAUCAAGAACUCAGGCUCUUUUUGUACAUGCGGUCUCCCAUGCCCAGCUGUUAACUCCUCAUCCUUAUGUGUGAAAGAUGGCUGCCACAGAACCAGCCAUUGCAAUCACAUUCCAAGGCAGAAAGGAGGAGUAUGGGAAGUGCUAACACAACUUGUCCUUUUUAUCAGGAAACUAACUAACGCCUUCCCAAACACUCUUCUUUAGGAAUUUCUCCCCUUUUAUUUCAUGGAACAAAGCUGGGUCUCAUGUUGACUCUGAGCUGCAGGGAGAAUCUAUCUAUCUGCAGCUAUCUAGCCUGACUUUAUUCUCUCCAUAGUAGGAGGUAAGUAGAGGAAAACAGGUUGAGAAUGGCUUUUGGGAUAGCCAAACAAGAGCACUGGCCGUGCCUACCUCACUGGCAGUUUAAGGAUCCAGGAAAAAGAUGCAAGUAAAAGAGCAGUGAAGCACUCAUAGAAAGCAGCCAGGACAUGCUGCUCUGGGGAAACGUUGGACAAAACCAUGAUUAGGCUGGGUGCGGUGGCUCACGACUGUAAUCCCAACACUUUUGGAGGCCAAGGUGGGCAGAUCACCUGAGGUCAGGAGUUCGAGACCAGCCUGGCUAACAUAGUGAAACCCCGUUUCUAUUAAAAAUACAAAAAUUAGCCAGCCAUGGUGUUGGGCACCUGUAAUCCCAGCUAUUCAGGAAGCCGAGGCAGAAGAAUUGCUUGAACCUGGGAGGCAGAAGUUGCAGUAAGCCG
rnacentral:lncRNA from 10 species